rnacentral:rRNA from 1 species
AUUGAACGCUGGCGGCAGGCCUAACACAUGCAAGUCGAACGAGUGGCGGACGGGUGAGUAAUGUCUGGGAAACUGCCUGAUGGAGGGGGAUAACUACUGGAAACGGUAGCUAAUACCGCAUACUAUCAUAUGUUCCCAGAUGGGAUUAGCUUGUUGGUGGGGUAACGGCUCACCAAGGCGACGAUCACUAGCUGGUCUGAGAGGAUGACCAGCCACACUGGAACUGAGACACGGUCCAGACUCCUACGUGAGGCAGCAGUUGGGAAUAUUGCACAAUGGGCGCAAGCCUGAUGCAGCCAUGCCGCGUGUAUGAAGAAGGCCUUCGGGUUGUAAAGUACUUUCAGCGGGGAGGCGUUACCCGCAGAAGAAGCACCGGCUAACUCCGUGCCAGCAGCCGCGGUAAUAC